rnacentral:rRNA from 1 species
CGGAGGGUCCAAGCGUUAUCCGGAAUCAUUGGGUUUAAAGGGUCCGUAGGCGGUUUAAUAAGUCAGUGGUGAAAGCCUAUCGCUUAACGAUAGAACGGCCAUUGAUACUGUUAGACUUGAAUUAGUGGGAAGUAACUAGAAUAUGUAGUGUAGCGGUGGAAUGCUUAGAUAUUACAUGGAAUACCAAUUGCGAAGGCAGGUUACUAUCACUAUAUUGACGCUGAUGGACGAAAGCGUGGGGAGCGAACAGGAUUAGAUACCCUGGUAGUCCACGCCGUAAACGAUGGAUACUAGCUGUUCGGAGCAAUCUGAGUGGCUAAGCGAAAGUGAUAAGUAUCCCACCUGGGGAGUACGUUCGCAAGAAUG